rnacentral:rRNA from 1 species
UGGGGAAUUUUGGACAAUGGGGGAAACCCGUGAUCCAGCCAUCCCGCGUGUGCGAUGAAGGCCUUCGGGUUGUAAAGCACUUUUGGCAGGAAAGAAACGUCGCGGGUUAAUACCCCGCGAAACUGACGGUACCUGCAGAAUAAGCACCGGCUAACUACGUGCCAGCAGCCGCGGUAAUACGUAGGGUGCAAGCGUUAAUCGGAAUUACUGGGCGUAAAGCGUGCGCAGGCGGUUCGGAAAGAAAGAUGUGAAAUCCCAGAGCUUAACUUUGGAACUGCAUUUUUAACUACCGGGCUAGAGUGUGUCAGAGGGAGGUGGAAUUCCGCGUGUAGCAGUGAAAUGCGUAGAUAUGCGGAGGAACACCGAUGGCGAAGGCAGCCUCCUGGGAUAACACUGACGCUCAUGCACGAAAGCGUGGGGAGCAAACAGGAUUAGAUACCCUGGUAGUCCACGCCCUAAACGAUGUCAACUAGCUGUUGGGGCCUUCGGGCCUUGGUAGCGCAGCUAACGCGUGAAGUUGACCGCCUGGGGAGU